GGAAGUAAACGUCGUAACAAGGUUUCCGUAGGUGAACCUGCGGAAGGAUCAUUACAGAGUUCAUGCCCUCACGGGUUGAUCUCCUACCCUUGUAUAUUUUGACCUUAGUUGCUUAGGCAGGCCGUGGAAACACCAUGGGCUCCGGCUUAUGCGUGCCUGCCAGAGGAAACAAACUCUGUUUUUAGUGAUGUCUGAGUACUAUAUAAUAGUUAAAACUUUCAACAACGGAUCUCUUGGUUCUG
rnacentral:misc_RNA from 1 species